GGUUACUGCUAUCGGGGUCCGACUAAGCCAUGCGAGUUGAGAGGGGUAAGCCCUCGGCAUACUGCUCAGUAACACGCGGAUAACCUGCCCUUGGGUCCGGGAUAACCCCGGGAAACUGGGACUAAUACCGGAUAGAUCAGAGAAACUGGAAUGUUCUCUGGUUCAAAACUCCGGUGCCCAAGGAUGGGUCUGCGGCCUAUCAGGUAGUAGUGGGUGUAACGUACCUACUAGCCAGCGACGGGUAAGGGUUGUGAGAGCAAGAUCCCUGAGAUGGAUUCUGAGACAUGAAUCCAGGCCCUACGGGGUGCAGCAGGCGCGAAAACUUUACACUGCGGGAGACCGCGAUAAGGGGACCCCGAGUGCCAGCACCUAGUGCUGGCUGUCCUACUGUCUAAAUAACAGUGGUUAGCAAGGGCCGGGCAAGACCGGUGCCAGCCGCCGCGGUAACACCGGCGGCCCGAGUGGUAACCGUUUUUAUUGGGUUUAAAGGGUCCGUAGCCGGCUUACUAAGUCUCUUGGGAAAUCUGGCGGCUCAAUCGUCAGGCGGCCAAGAGAUACUGGUAGGCUUGGGACCGGGAGAGGUGGGAGGUACUCCAGGGGUAGGGGUGAAAUCUCGUAAUCCUUGGGGGACCACCGAUGGCGAAGGCAUCCCACCAGAACGGGUCCGACGGUGAGGGACGAAAGCUGGGGGCACGAACCGGAUUAGAUACCCGGGUAGUCCCAGCUGUAAACGAUGCUCGCUAGGUGUCAGGUGCGGUGCGACCGCAUCUGGUGCCGCAGUGAAAACUUGAAGCGAGUCACCUGGGAAGUACGGUCGCAAGGCUGAAACUUAAAGGAAUUGGCGGGGGAGCACUACAACGGGUGGAGCCUGCGGUUC
rnacentral:rRNA from 1 species